GAGGUCCAGAGAAUAAAAGGGAGUGACCACAAAUUACUCAGCAGCCUUGACCCUGGUCACCUGAUUGGUAUGGCAGCCCAGCGUGCUUUCUGGUAUCACUCUUGUGUCUGGAGUAGAUCAAAGCCAUCAGGAAGGGUCUUAUAGGAGUCAUGCGUCUGAUGGAGCCUUCCUAGCCAACUCCUAACCUGCUUGGUUACCACAGGAUGUAUGGACUUUACUGGAACCAUCAGAGUGCACUGACCUUCUCCCACCAGUGAGUGUCCCCACACCGACUACCCAACUCUUUCCACUUGCGGCCACUUGCAUCCCGAUUGCAGCACCUAUAGCGUGACACCACCACUUACAGCCUGAACUUGGAGCUGCAGGUCGUUUUUUUCUUUCAACAGUGACACCAUCUUUUCCUCCAGUUCCUUCCUCUUUGCCUCUGACUUGGCGAGUUCGUCUUUGGUUUUCUGAAACUCCUCCUUCAUGGUGGCCAUCUCCUUCUCGGUCUCCGCGCUCUUGAGGAGGGGCUUGAUCUU